rnacentral:rRNA from 1 species
AGCGAACGCUGGCGGCAGCCCUAACACAUGCAAGUCGAACCAACUCUUCGGAGUUCUUGGCGGACGUGUGAGUCACCCGUGGGACCGUGCCUUUAGGUUCUGCAUAACACAUCGAAACCCAUUCUAAUCCCGAAUGUGCCCUUUGAGGGCAUGAGUUAUCCCUUUGCUAGCGGCUCGCGUCGGAUUAGCUAGUUGGUGAGCUAAAGGGCCACCCAGGCGACGAUCAGUAGCUGGUCUGCUGGGAUGCUCACCCACAUCGGGACUGAGACACGGCCCAAACUCGUGCGGGAGGCAGUCGUGGUGAAUACUGCGCUAGGCGAGAAAGCUGGACGCAGCCAUGCCGAGUGAAGGAUGAAGGUCUUAGGAUCGCAAGCUUCUUUCGCCUGUGACGAUAAUGACGGCACCCGGAGAAGAAGCCCCGGAUAACUUGGUG